rnacentral:rRNA from 1 species
AUGGCCGCCGAGCCACCGCCUUGCGCCGCCCGUUCGUCGUCCCACCGCAGCAUCCUGCUUCGCUCGACGCCUCUGCGCCAAGUCCCUCAACCGGGGCGCCGCGCCUACGCCCUUGCUUCCUCGUCACCGGCGAGCGUCGCGCCGUCUUCUUCUCCUCCUGCCCGCGACCGAGCCCCGCUGCCGCUGCCCUUCUGCAACGCCGCCGUCCACGACCAGCAGGAGGCCGCCGCUUGCCUCGCACCACUGCUGCCGGCGACCGAGGCUGCUGGAGCAUGCCCGCAGUCACCCAUGCGCCGCCAUGCCUCCCCUGCAACUGCUCUUCGGCGAGCUCCAGCAGCUCCACCACGUUCCGAUGCCGCCGGCUGA